GUGCUAUCGAAUCUCUCUCCAAACCAAGUCUGCUAAUGCAGGGAGCAUAUCAAGGGCAAAAAUAGAAAGCAGAGAGAUGAGAUCAGGGCUGCUUGAGGAGUCUUUCUAGGAGAGAGCUGGGCAGCAAACAAUUUCAGUUUGGAAAAUUUGGCCUGUUCUCCAGCAGGAUGGAGCAGGGUAACGGCUCCCUCUUCACACGACAGAAACAUCUGACUGAGGCAAAAAGAUGGUCCUAGAAGGUGAUUCAUAAGUGAAGU